rnacentral:lncRNA from 1 species
GAACUCAAAUAUUUUUCAUCGCGCAAUAGCCAUUUAAAAUUUCUUGCACGACGUUACCUUCGCUUCGUCGCGCAAAAACGAAUAAAAUUUCAGAAACCACGCGAUGGCCUCCUUCUUGCCCAGAUUGCUAUUUUUUUUCCCCGCCGUCAGCUCAGCCUCCUACCCCGGUGGAUUUGGACCGCGCCCGCGACGUUGGUGGUACCCCGGAGCUCGCCCGCCGUCG